rnacentral:rRNA from 1 species
CAUGCAAGUCGAGCGGAUGAAGGGAGCUUGCUCCUGAAUUCAGCGGCGGACGGGUGAGUAAUGCCUAGGAAUCUGCCUGGUAGUGGGGGACAACGUUUCGAAAGGAACGCUAAUACCGCAUACGUCCUACGGGAGAAAGCAGGGGACCUUCGGGCCUUGCGCUAUCAGAUGAGCCUAGGUCGGAUUAGCUAGUUGGUGAGGUAAUGGCUCACCAAGGCGACGAUCCGUAACUGGUCUGAGAGGAUGAUCAGUCACACUGGAACUGAGACACGGUCCAGACUCCUACGGGAGGCAGCAGUGGGGAAUAUUGGACAAUGGGCGAAAGCCUGAUCCAGCCAUGCCGCGUGUGUGAAGAAGGUCUUCGGAUUGUAAAGCACUUUAAGUUGGGAGGAAGGGUUGUAGAUUAAUACUCUGCAAUUUUGACGUUACCGACAGAAUAAGCACCGGCUAACUCUGUGCCAGCAGCCGCGGUAAUACAGAGGGUGCAAGCGUUAAUCGGAAUUACUGGGCGUAAAGCGCGCGUAGGUGGUUCGUUAAGUUGGAUGUGAAAUCCCCGGGCUCAACCUGGGAACUGCAUCCAAAACUGGCGAGCUAGAGUAUGGUAGAGGGUGGUGGAAUUUCCUGUGUAGCGGUGAAAUGCGUAGAUAUAGGAAGGAACACCAGUGGCGAAGGCGACCACCUGGACUGAUACUGACACUGAGGUGCGAAAGCGUGGGGAGCAAAC